GACGAACGCUGGCGGCGUGCCUAACACAUGCAAGUCGAGCGGAGUCGAUCGACGGAAGCCUUCGGGCGGAAGAUGGUUGACUUAGCGGCGGAUGGGUGAGUAACGCGUGGGCAACCUGCCUCGAAGACCGGGAUAACAGCCCGAAAGGGCUGCUAAUACCGGAUGUGGUCAAAGAUCCGCAUGGAUUUUGAUUAAAGGGGAAACCCGUUUCGAGAUGGGCCCGCGUCCUAUCAGCUAGUUGGUGAGGUAAAAGCUCACCAAGGCGACGACGGGUAGCCGGCCUGAGAGGGUGACCGGCCACACUGGAACUGAGACACGGUCCGGACUCCUACGGGGGGCAGCAGUGGGGAAUCUUCCACAAUGGGCGAAAGCCUGAUGGAGCGACGCCGCGUGAGCGAAGAAGGCCUUCGGGUUGUAAAGCUCUGUCUGGAGGGACGAAGGAAGUGACGGUACCUCCGGAGGAAGCCACGGCUAACUACGUG
rnacentral:rRNA from 1 species